AUGGCUGUCGUCAGCUCGUGUCGUGAGAUGUUGGGUUAAGUCCCGCAACGAGCGCAACCCUUGUCCUAUGUUGCCAGCGGGUAAUGCCGGGGACUCGUAGGAGACUGCCGGGGUCAACUCGGAGGAAGGUGGGGACGACGUCAAGUCAUCAUGCCCCUUACGUCCAGGGCUGCACACAUGCUACAAUGGCCGGUACAGAGGGCUGCUAUCCCGCGAGGGUGAGCGAAUCCCAAAAAGCCGGUCUCAGUUCGGAUUGGAGUCUGCAACUCGACUCCAUGAAGUCGGAGUCGCUAGUAAUCCCGGAUCAGCAACGCCGGGGUGAAUACGUUCCCGGGCCUUGUACACACCGCCCGUCAAACCACGAAAGUCGGCAACACCCGAAGCCGGUCACCCAACCACUUGUGGAGGGAGCCGUCGAAGGUGGGGUUGGUGAUUGGGGUUAAGUCGUAACAAGGUAGCCGUACCGGAAGGUGCGGCUGGAUCACCUCCUUUCUAAGGAGUCACGGUCGAUUCUUUAUCGCCAAUUGCGAUGAAGUAAUCGAGCACUCCCAGUCGAUCAUUGACUAUUCGCCAUAUCGCAUAUCCUGCGACGGUUGAAUCCCUCAAUUUACGUUGAAGGAUUCCCCUCUACAGGCGCUGAGCGAAACCGACGGACUGUUCCUAUUCCGCUUUCAGGGAGCGACGUUUUUUCGCGCCCCUUGAGAACUCCAUAGCGAGCACGAGCAUCUAAUUCUCCAAGCUACAAAGAGCCAACGGCGGAUGCCUUGGCGCCUGAAGCCGAUGAAGGACGUGGGAGGCUGCGAAAAGCCACGGGGAGCUGCCUACCAAGCUUCGAUCCGUGGACGUCCGAAUGGGGAAACCCGG
rnacentral:sRNA from 1 species